rnacentral:rRNA from 1 species
UACGAAGGGAGCUAGCGUUGUUCGGAAUCACUGGGCGUAAAGCGCACGUAGGCGGAUGUGUCAGUCAGGGGUGAAAUCCCGGAGCUCAACUUCGGAACUGCCUUUGAUACAGCACAUCUGGAGUCCGGAAGAGGUGGGUGGAAUUCCUAGUGUAGAGGUGAAAUUCGUAGAUAUUAGGAAGAACUCCGGUGGCGAAGGCGGCACGCUGGACCUCAUCUGACGCUGAGGCGCGAAAGCCAGGGGAGGCAAACGGG